GGGAAUGAAAAGAACUUAUACAAUGAAUAUUCAUCUCUAUUUAUUUGGUGCAAAUGGCUAUCUAUCUACCCCAACGAAAGAAUAACAAAAAGGGAAAAAAAAUCAACAACAAUACAAGAAUCAAUCAAUUUUCCGAAUUCUGCAUCCUCCAAUUUAAAUAGCUAAAAAUUGGUCUUUCUGGAACAGGCAUGUACUUGACAACCCAACCAAUUGGCCAUGUAAGAGCUGCCAUUCCAAUGCAUGCACCCCAUUGACCCCAAUUCAACCUCUCUGUAUCUG
rnacentral:misc_RNA from 1 species